rnacentral:rRNA from 1 species
UACAGGGGGUGCAAACGUUGCUCGGAAUUACUGGGCGUAAAGCGCACGUAGGCGGCUUUGUAAGUUAGAGGUGAAAGCCCGGAGCUCAACUCCGGAACUGCCUUUAAGACUGCAUCGCUUGAAUCCAGGAGAGGUAAGUGGAAUUCCGAGUGUAGAGGUGAAAUUCGUAGAUAUUCGGAAGAACACCAGUGGCGAAGGCGGCUCACUGGACUGGUAUUGACGCUGAGGUGCGAAAGCGUGGGGAGCAAACAGG